GGGGAAUGCAAAGGACCUAUGAGGGGGGUGUCUGACAUGUCUGAUGGUGCCUGGGGCUCUUCUGGGGGUGAGAACGGGGUUAUUUAGUCCCCUGGCUCUGGCCCGGCCUGGAGAGGACACGUCUGGGGAGUGGGAGGCUGCCAUAGUGAAUUAGCCACUUUGAGGGCAGCCGCACGGGGGCCAGCUGAGGCUUGAGUGGACACCUGGGACAUCUACAAGGGCCAUGAGCUCCCAGGCUGAAGGUGGAGAAGCAGGUGGGUUGGUGUGAAGUGCAACUGACCGAGGAUGGGGCCGGAUCAGUGUCUGGGGGCCAGACACCCCAGGGCAAAAGAACCUGUGGGAAUCCCCUACUGGAUACUAACAGGUUAAUCUAUGGGACUCCCUUCCCCUGGGUAUUAGUAUGGUUAACCCGUGGGACUCCCUGCCCCUGGGUUUCUCUCUCUGACUAUUAAUUUGUUACUGUGUGUCCUGCGCUCCCCAGACAUCCCCUAGCUGGGGACCGCGCUGAACUCGUCCCGCCAGCGCCAGGGGCCCAGCAUCAGCUGCAGUUGCUCCCUGUGCUCCCACCCCCUGCUCCAGCUCCAGUGGCAGGUGGACGGGGAGCCCGUGGCUGGGAACGGCUCUCGGGGGGCCCUGCAGGUCACCUCAUGGGCCCAGGGGGACGAGGCUGUCAGCGCCCUGAGUUGGACGGGAAGUGGGGACAGGGACCCCCGGAUCUUCUGCCUCCGUUCCAACAUCCACAGGAUGUACGCUGUACUGCUGAGCCCACUGGAAACAUGUGAGAGCGCUUCCCUACUAGAGGGUGCGAGCUCUGAUCUUGCCCCAGGGAGGGGAUUGACUGGCUUUUGGGGGGAGGUGGGCGGACAUUGGGCCACAGGACCUUUCCCCCUUAAGGAAUCACUGGCUCCUACCCGGCCCCAGGGCAGGGGCUGGCUGGCUUGGACAGGGGUUGCAGGGAUCUAUCUCAGACUCUCGGCUUGUUCCAGCUCCCACAGGUGGCCUCACUUGGGUGUUUAUCGAAAUCAGCUGCAAACUCGUCUUCGUGGCAACUGGAUUCUUCCUGGCCUAUUACCUCACCCUGCUCUAUUACAGACGGACACCCUGCUGCUGUCAUGGAAGCAGAAGGAAGAACAGGCCGGGGGACAGGGAAUCCACUGUGCCCGAGUCCGGUGUGUAGAUCGGGAUGUUCCUCAGCCACCGAAGAGCUGACAAGGAACUGGAAUCUCAGAGGACUUAGGAAACAGAGAAUGAGACAUCAGCUGGGGGAACUGCCACCUUGGGAGAGGCCAACAGGCCUAUCUAGUCUGAUAUCCUGCCCCCUCAGACCCAUGCAUGUGGGAAGCACAAGGAAGCUGCUUGUAAUGUUUAUAUGACCAGUAGAUGAUCUGUUUGUUGCCUUGAUGAUUAUGACUUUGUUUGCUCUGUGAUGACCGCCAGGCACCCAGAUACCCCAGUGACAAACACAAUUUGAGACCCUCUAGAGAACAGAGCAGACAAGCUGAUGCUAGUUACUGAUCCCUGCAAGCCAACGCCCAACCCAGCUACUCUAACGGCCGCCCCCAGGCAGCGCGGGGAGAAAGUUUCACCGACAAACUUUUUUUUGGGUGCAAAAUGCAAGUUCGGCAACACCAAACUUUGUGUAAAUCUGGGAAGAUUUUGUCAAUUUGUCUGUUUUGGGGAGAAAACCUCCCAAAAUUCCCCGAAAUUGAAAGAUUUCAUUUAGGCAUUUUCAAAAAAAAAUGUUUCACUUUCUCAAUUCAAACACACUGUAUGGUUUGAAAUUUUCUGUAAUUUUACUUUGUAG
ensembl:lncRNA